rnacentral:rRNA from 1 species
GGGUUGUGAGGUUAAGCGACUAAGCGUACACGGUGGAUGCCCUGGCAGUCAGAGGCGAUGAAGGACGUGCUAAUCUGCGAUAAGCGUCGGUGAGGUGAUAUGAACCGUUAUAACCGGCGAUUUCCGAAUGGGGAAACCCAGUGUGUUUCGACACACUAUCAUUAACUGAAUCCAUAGGUUAAUGAGGCGAACCGGGGGAACUGAAACAUCUAAGUACCCCGAGGAAAAGAAAUCAACCGAGAUUCCCCCAGUAGCGGCGAGCGAACGGGGAGGAGCCCAGAGCCUGAAUCAGUGUGUGUGUUAGUGGAAGCGUCUGGAAAGGCGCGCGAUACAGGGUGACAGCCCCGUACACAAAAAUGCACAUAUUGUGAGCUCGAUGAGUAGGGCGGGACACGUGGUAUCCUGUCUGAAUAUGGGGGGACCAUCCUCCAAGGCUAAAUACUCCUGACUGACCGAUAGUGAACCAGUACCGUGAGGGAAAGGCGAAAAGAACCCCGGCGAGGGGAGUGAAAAAGAACCUGAAACCGUGUACGUACAAGCAGUGGGAGCCUCUUAAUGGGGUGACUGCGUACCUUUUGUAUAAUGGGUCAGCGACUUAUAUUCUGUAGCAAGGUUAACCGAAUAGGGGAGCCGAAGGGAAACCGAGUCUUAACUGGGCGUUAAGUUGCAGGGUAUAGACCCGAAACCCGGUGAUCUAGCCAUGGGCAGGUUGAAGGUUGGGUAACACUAACUGGAGGACCGAACCGACUAAUGUUGAAAAAUUAGCGGAUGACUUGUGGCUGGGGGUGAAAGGCCAAUCAAACCGGGAGAUAGCUGGUUCUCCCCGAAAGCUAUUUAGGUAGCGCCUCGUGAAUUCAUCUCCGGGGGUAGAGCACUGUUUCGGCAAGGGGGUCAUCCCGACUUACCAACCCGAUGCAAACUGCGAAUACCGGAGAAUGUUAUCACGGGAGACACACGGCGGGUGCUAACGUCCGUCGUGAAGAGGGAAACAACCCAGACCGCCAGCUAAGGUCCCAAAGUCAUGGUUAAGUGGGAAACGAUGUGGGAAGGCCCAGACAGCCAGGAUGUUGGCUUAGAAGCAGCCAUCAUUUAAAGAAAGCGUAAUAGCUCACUGGUCGAGUCGGCCUGCGCGGAAGAUGUAACGGGGCUAAACCAUGCACCGAAGCUGCGGCAGCGACACUAUGUGUUGUUGGGUAGGGGAGCGUUCUGUAAGCCUGUGAAGGUGGCCUGUGAGGGUUGCUGGAGGUAUCAGAAGUGCGAAUGCUGACAUAAGUAACGAUAAAGCGGGUGAAAAGCCCGCUCGCCGGAAGACCAAGGGUUCCUGUCCAACGUUAAUCGGGGCAGGGUGAGUCGACCCCUAAGGCGAGGCCGAAAGGCGUAGUCGAUGGGAAACAGGUUAAUAUUCCUGUACUUGGUGUUACUGCGAAGGGGGGACGGAGAAGGCUAUGUUGGCCGGGCGACGGUUGUCCCGGUUUAAGCGUGUAGGCUGGUUUUCCAGGCAAAUCCGGAAAAUCAAGGCUGAGGCGUGAUGACGAGGCACUACGGUGCUGAAGCGACAAAUGCCCUGCUUCCAGGAAAAGCCUCUAAGCAUCAGGUAACAUCAAAUCGUACCCCAAACCGACACAGGUGGUCAGGUAGAGAAUACCAAGGCGCUUGAGAGAACUCGGGUGAAGGAACUAGGCAAAAUGGUGCCGUAACUUCGGGAGAAGGCACGCUGAUAUGUAGGUGAAGCGACUUGCUCGUGGAGCUGAAAUCAGUCGAAGAUACCAGCUGGCUGCAACUGUUUAUUAAAAACACAGCACUGUGCAAACACGAAAGUGGACGUAUACGGUGUGACGCCUGCCCGGUGCCGGAAGGUUAAUUGAUGGGGUUAGCGGUAACGCGAAGCUCUUGAUCGAAGCCCCGGUAAACGGCGGCCGUAACUAUAACGGUCCUAAGGUAGCGAAAUUCCUUGUCGGGUAAGUUCCGACCUGCACGAAUGGCGUAAUGAUGGCCAGGCUGUCUCCACCCGAGACUCAGUGAAAUUGAACUCGCUGUGAAGAUGCAGUGUACCCGCGGCAAGACGGAAAGACCCCGUGAACCUUUACUAUAGCUUGACACUGAACAUUGAGCCUUGAUGUGUAGGAUAGGUGGGAGGCUUUGAAGUGUGGACGCCAGUCUGCAUGGAGCCGACCUUGAAAUACCACCCUUUAAUGUUUGAUGUUCUAACGUGGGCCCCUUACCGGGGUUGCGGACAGUGUCUGGUGGGUAGUUUGACUGGGGCGGUCUCCUCCUAAAGAGUAACGGAGGAGCACGAAGGUUGGCUAAUCCUGGUCGGACAUCAGGAGGUUAGUGCAAUGGCAUAAGCCAGCUUGACUGCGAGCGUGACGGCGCGAGCAGGUGCGAAAGCAGGUCAUAGUGAUCCGGUGGUUCUGAAUGGAAGGGCCAUCGCUCAACGGAUAAAAGGUACUCCGGGGAUAACAGGCUGAUACCGCCCAAGAGUUCAUAUCGACGGUGGUGUUUGGCACCUCGAUGUCGGCUCAUCACAUCCUGGGGCUGAAGUAGGUCCCAAGGGUAUGGCUGUUCGCCAUUUAAAGUGGUACGCGAGCUGGGUUUAGAACGUCGUGAGACAGUUCGGUCCCUAUCUGCCGUGGGCGCUGGAGAACUGAGGGGGGCUGCUCCUAGUACGAGAGGACCGGAGUGGACGCAUCACUGGUGUUCGGGUUGUCAUGCCAAUGGCACUGCCCGGUAGCUAAAUGCGGAAGAGAUAAGUGCUGAAAGCAUCUAAGCACGAAACUUGCCCCGAGAUGAGUUCUCCCUGACUCCUUGAGAGUCCUGAAGGAACGUUGAAGACGACGACGUUGAUAGGCCGGGUGUGUAAGCGCAGCGAUGCGUUGAGCUAACCGGUACUAAUGAACCGUGAGGCUUAACCUUACAACGCCGAAG